UUGGGAGUGUGGGCCCACACGAGCAUGUGGGCCCAAAAUUUUGAAAAUUUCCCUAAGGUCUCACAAGUUGUUUCGAUCGACUGUGGGCCUAUCAUAAGCUUGACUGCAUAUUAUCUGUUAUGUGUCGCAUCGACACUAUAUGGUGUGUAGGGGGAUGGAUGAGUGUUUUUAACCCCACUUGGUGUGAUGGAAUGGACGGAGAUGGUGUAUAGAGGAUUGGGGUAAUCUUUAGACAUAGGCAGGUCGGUGCGACGGAGGCUUAACGGUGACCAAUUGAGAGUUUUCAUUAUUAUUAUUAUUAUUAUUAUUAUUAUUAUUAUUAUUAUUAUUAUUACUAUUAUUUAAUGGUUUUACUGAAAUUUUUGAUUUUCGUGAGAGUUUUUCAAUUUUUGGACUCUUCGGA